rnacentral:rRNA from 1 species
GAUGAACGCUGGCGGCGUGCCUAACACAUGCAAGUCGAACGAAGCUCCUGCGACGGAUUCCUUCGGGAUGAAGAUGCUUGAGACUGAGUGGCGGACGGGUGAGUAACGCGUGGGUAACCUGCCCUGAACAGGGGGACAACAGUUGGAAACGACUGCUAAUACCGCAUAAGCGCACAGUACCGCAUGGUACGGUGUGAAAAACUCCGGUGGUUCAGGAUGGACCCGCGUCUGAUUAGUUAGUUGGCGGGGUAACGGCCCACCAAGACGACGAUCAGUAGCCGGCUUGAGAGAGUGAACGGCCACAUUGGGACUGAGACACGGCCCAAAACUCCUACGGGAGGCAGCAGUGGGGAAUAUUGCACAAUGGGGGAAACCCUGAUGCAGCAACGCCGCGUGAGUGAAGAAGUAUUUCGGUAUGUAAAGCUCUAUCAGCAGGGAAGAAAAUGACGGUACCUGACUAAGAAGCCCCGGCUAACUACGUGCCAGCAGCCGCGGU